rnacentral:rRNA from 1 species
UACGUAGGGCGCAAGCGUUAUCCGGAAUUAUUGGGCGUAAAGAGCUCGUAGGCGGUUGGGUAAGUCGGGUGUGAAAACUCCAGGCUCAACUUGGAGACGCCACCCGAUACUGCUCUGACUUGAGUUCGGUAGGGGAGUGGGGAAUUCCUGGUGUAGCGGUGAAAUGCGCAGAUAUCAGGAGGAACACCGGUGGCGAAGGCGCCACUCUGGGCCGAAACUGACGCUGAGGAGCGAAAGCGUGGGUAGCAAACAGG